rnacentral:rRNA from 1 species
UACAGAGGGGGCAAGCGUUGUUCGGAAUUACUGGGCGUAAAGGGCGCGUAGGCGGCCUUCUAAGUCAGACGUGAAAUCCCUCGGCUCAACCGGGGAACUGCGUCUGAGACUGGAAGGCUUGAAUCCGGGAGAGGGAUGUGGAAUUCCUGGUGUAGCGGUGAAAUGCGCAGAUAUCAGGAGGAACACCGGUGGCGAAGGCGGCAUCCUGGACCGACACUGACGCUGAGGCGCGAAAGCUAGGGUAGCAAACGGG